UCUAUCAAUAUGAUAUGUGUUACAGGGAAUAUAUUCAGUGAGGGAAAGCAAUAAUCCCUGACAUUUGUCAUUCUCUGAAUUAAUUUUUUUCUUCCAUUCUACCGCCGAUCAGCUUAUGCCAAAAACAUAGUAUGGGUUUGGUAAUCACUGGUUAAUGAAAACUGUUGGUGUUUCUUUCAUUUCUUAAAUACAAAUUUAAUAAAAUAUAAGAGACAAAAUUAUUUCCAUAAUUAUUGAUAUAAAACGUUAACGCCAGAGAAUUACCGGACGAUAAGGUGAACGUACCCUACCCCACCGGUGGCACCCGUCACAAAUACUUGUAAAGGAAAGUCGAUUGUUCACCUGAAAAAAACACACGGAAAAAUAAAGGACAAGUCGAAAUAGAAAAUUGCAUCGAACAUCAUUUGUGUUACUGAUGCGUCAAAUGUCCAUCACAUAUCUACCGUAAAACGUUUGAAAGCAUCACUGAUGCAUGUGAGUUUGGUUUUACGCCGUUGUUAAAGGCUCGGGACACCAGCAAUGGGCUUCACACAUUCUACCCAUGUCGGAAAUCGAACCCGGGUCUUCGGCGUGACGAGCGAACGCUUUAACCACAAGGCUACCUGACCGCCCCCACUGAUGCCUUGAAUGUAACUUUGAUCAAACAACUUUUAGGCAGAGUUUUAUGACGCUCCUUGUUUGGCGAAAUCUUGGUAGAAAUAGGAGCAUGUUGGAUUGUACCUAAAACAUUGUGAAAUGAAGCCACCAGGCGCUCGAGCUGAGGCAAUAUUGCUCGACAUAAAGGGAAAGUAGGACAACUGCACUCACAAAGAUGAGUCUCGGAAUCACAUUGCCUUGUAAGACAUGCCACACGUGCACCUGAUCUUAUCUCAUCUGUUCCUGAUAAGAUUUAGUGUCAGUGCCAGAGGUAAAGUAUUUUUAUGAAUUCCUUACAAUGCUACAUUCACUUUCAAACAGUCAUGUUUCCUCCUCACGUCUACCAUAAAACAUGGUGACAAUUUUACUUAGGCUUUGAAUGUAAUCGAAUGCACUUGAAUGCAUUGAAUGUACUUAUCACUGAGGAGUCAUUCUGCAUUCGACUGUAGCCUUGUAGCCUAAGGCCAUUCUCAGAGCUGCUGUACUGGCGGUUCUGGUAUUCCUUCCUGAAAGUUCUUAAAAUAUGGAUUGUUAAACGGAUAAUACUCAAGUCCCAUGUGUUGAACGGGCCUUGUACAAAGCAUCGGUAUAUGGAAUAAGUAGUGAAUAAAAAAAGGCAUUUGUUUCAGAAGCAGAAUGGGAAAUUCUUCCUCCAGGACGGACAUAGGAGAAACAAGGAUGAUAAGAGAGAAAUGGUUUGACGAAUUCCCAGGUACGAGCUAUAAAACCUCAGCGCCUAAAAGCACCGUUUUGUGGCCAUCAUUUUCAACAUCAGCAGACUGAAGAACCUCGAGGUAAUACGGAGAGCUUCCGCCAUCUUCAGGUGCGUGUUGAACGGUGACACUAUAGGCUAUAGGACAGUGGUUCCGAAACAAUCUACCACUGACACACUCAGACAAGACUCGCAUCGCUGUCCAUGGCAGGGAACGUGAGUUAACGAUAACAGAUGUACAGUUUGAGGACACAGGGAACUACGAGUACAGAGUUAACCAAGACUUGACCUCAGCUAAUCUCACACUUAAUGAAGCCACAUGUGUCAACAGCAUGUUGAACCCGCCCCAGCCUGCAAUGCGUCCAGUGUGAGAACAGAGGGGCCUUGAAGAAAAUUACAUUUAACAGAAUUAUUAAAGAGAUUUUUUCAUUUAUUUUGAAAAGGAUUUGUUAAUGCAAAUACUCAUUUUUUCAAUGAAUCAUCCUCUAAGAAAUAUGUG
rnacentral:lncRNA from 1 species